GACGGGGACCGCCCACACCGACGAUGCGUAGGGGUUCUGAGAGGAAGGUCCCCCACACUGGUACUGAGACACGGACCAGACUCCUACGGGAGGCAGCAG
rnacentral:rRNA from 1 species